AGCCCUUCACUGAUCUUCUACAUGAUCCAUAUUUAUAAUCAAAACUUUUUUUACCUUUCAUCUUUCUCAGAAAACGGAGGAGGUAACAUCAAUACUGAGGACCAGAAUGUUUGCUGUGAAGCAGAGGCAGAUGCCUGGCGACACAACCCUGACCUCAAGUGCUACAUUCAAAAGUCACAUUCAAAACACACUGCACUGCCAGUUACCAUUCCUGAUGGGGCCAGUUCCUUUGUGUGGUGCUUACGAGGCAGCUCAUGGCUUAGCACUCCUGCUUGCUUCACUUGGAUGCUCUGUUUUCUUCUGCUCUGCAGCUUCUAGGCAAGACAGAGAGGCUUCUGAUAGAGAAAGGCUCACACAUUCUUGAUAACCAUCUACAAGGGAGAAAACUGCUCUGCCAGCAGCGUCCUCCUCCUCUCUCAUGAUGUACAGCAACCAGCUGAACACAGACUGAUUUUCCAUGGGAACUGCUGCCCUUGUAAUCCCAAAUAGUCCUGUUUUCACAAAGGUACCUUCACCACAUCCACACCUUCCCCAAGCACUGUGACUCUUGUCCAGCUCCAGGCCCUUGUGAGCAGCACAGGCAGCACCAGGAGCCCCCAUCCUCCUCUCCUUGGCUUGGCUGCAGACAGCAGGCACCCCAGGGUGUGUGGCUGACUCAGCAGCACUGAAACCAGCUGAAUUCUCUCUGUGACAAAGUGGGAACAGCUCUGAAAUGCUUCCCAUGCCCUCUGCAUGGCUGUCACUUGGUAAUGCCACAGCACCACCCAGGUGUCUGUAUUGUUUGAAUUCCCAGGUAAUCUCUGCAUCUACCAAAGCCUUUUGCACCACAAGCUGGCUGGUAGGUUGAAGUGGAAGAAUUUGGAAGAGAUAUUUGAUUUUGCCCCCACCAGCAGGCUGAGGACAUGUCUGAGUGUUUGUUCCUGAGCAGGGCUGGGUGGGAGGCUGUGUCCAGCUCCCUCAGGAAUGGCAUUGGGUCACAGAGGCCUUGGUGUCCCCCAGGCUGAGCAGAACUCUGAUAUCAAUCUUCCUGACAAAUUAGGCAAGUUUAGACAGCAUGAGAUGAGUACAGCCCCUCAGGCAUCCCUUUGGGUACUUGGUAUCUUUAAAUCAUUCCCCAUUCCCACCUGAUUUGAAUAAAUCCUCAGCUUUUGCAUUGGAUCUAAUUUACUAUCAAGACUGUUGAGCAAAAAUCAGUGGCAGUACAAGGGGAGAAGCAAAUCCCUUAAGCAAUGUGAAUGUUUGCUGAAUCACUGUCCUUUUGCCACACAGCUAAGCACAAGCACACACAGAGUUCUUGGUUUAUUUCUGCUUUGAUUGACUCAAUUUUGUUUGUUGCUUGUUUUUUCCUCAAUGUGUCUUAACCAUCCAGUCAGUAGCAGAGUGAACCUUGCCAACAAACUCUGUUGUGCUGGUGCUUAAUAUCAAAUCUGGAUUUUACUGAUCCCCUUGCUGGUGAUGUUUUGAGAGAUCUCCAACACUUUGAACAGGUGAUUCCCAUUUGAUCCCUCUGUUCCUUGCUAUUCAUUGUACAAAUGUUUCUUGUUCAGUUCCUUUGGUUAUUGGGGUCAUUGGAGAGGUCUAAGGGUCUCAUUAUACAUUUGUAUACCUUUGUUUCUCACUGGAUUCACACUUUCUGCAGUCAUCUUUCAGAGAAUCUGUAUUAACCAGUUCCUUGAUGUUAUUAAAUUCUUC
rnacentral:lncRNA from 1 species